AAAGAGUAGAGACUUAGGAGGGAGCAGGCAACAGGAAGUGGUCUGAGACACUGGGCAUGGCUUGACCACAUAUGAUACCUCAUAGCCCAUCUCCAGAGUGAUAAAGUCCUCCAACAAGGCAAAUCUACUCCAACAAAGCCACACUUCCUAAGAGUACUACUCCCUUUGAGGACCAUUUUCUUUCAAACCAACACAGGUCACUGAAAACAGGACAGAGGCUGUGAGCUAGGUCCUCUGCUAACUGCUAACCAGACUAUGUUAUUUACAGGCACCAAUUCCCCAUUAACAAGACCUAUAACCCAAUCAGAGCAAGAUACACAAAGGACAGUUUUGAUAACCACUGGUUUGGAUAUUUUCCCAAGUCUGAUUUGGCGAUCUUCCUAAGUGAUCAGGUAACACCUAAACAAAAGAAAACAAACUACUGUAUCAGCAGCACUCCAAACUGAACAAGAUAUAGAAAUAUAUUUAAAAGUGGAUAAAGCUAACUUAUUCCACAAAUGAUAAUAUAACAAAAACUGAUGAAAAUAACUUGGAGUGAUCUAUAAAGUUAAAAUUAUUUAAUGUAAAGGUGGAAUCAGUAAAAGAAGGAAAUAAAAAGAGAGAAAAAGAGGCAAAGAAAGGUGAAAAUAAGAUUAUAAAACCCAGGAAAAAUCAUGGUGAAAAUGUUAUGAUAACAACAGCAGAGUGAAAAGGUGAGAGAUUUAAAUUAUGCAAACAAAUUCUAUAAAUCAACAAAGGGAAUAAAAUGGCAGUCAAAGCUCUAAAAAAAUAAAGCAAUAGCGCUAAAAGUUUAGUAAACGGGAAAAAGAGGAAACAAGUGGACUAAUUAUUGGAAAUCCCUCUACCAG
rnacentral:lncRNA from 1 species